rnacentral:lncRNA from 1 species
AUUUCAAUCAUCUAUCUUGCGCGUGUGUUUGACUAUCGAUACCACCUUAUCAUUUAUGUCAUGUCACAUGUGAUACCCAAGAAGAAAGGCCAAAGAGAAGUUCAACAUAAUGAUAUCUAUUUCUUGGAUCACACGUUCCAUAACUGAGAGUCCCUUUUUUCUCGUAUUUCGCUCUCGAAUAUCAUCAUUAGCAAUAUAAGGAUGACUGUUCGAAGGAGUAUUAGUUCCUAUUGAUUGGGUUUCUAUGCCUCCUAUUUUUAAUUUUUGAAGCGGAAAACAUUAAUUUGGAGGGUAUACCCUAAGUUUCGGUGAGACCAUUGGAGGAGUUGAAUGUUACUGGCAUGGGUAUUCCUACUCUUACUGACAUGGGUAUUCCUACGGACAAUUUUGUCGCCCACAGAGAGAGAGGUCAAGAGAUGCCGGUCACUCCGAGAAAGGCGAAGCCGACCCUUCUACUUCGGCCCCACCACCACGGCCACCACCUCCACCUUCCUCCUCGAGAUCCAACUGGCAGCACCUUUUCAAUAUGCUAGACUGUCAUCAGACUCAAGUCGUGGAACGACUUGAUCGAGUCGAUGCUCGUCUAGAUACCUUUGAUGUUCGAUUGUGUCGUAUGGAGGAUCACUUUGGCAUCGCUUCUUCACUACAUCCUACUCCUUGAACUAGUGGUGAUGAUCGAGAAUCUGUUGGAGCUAGCAAAGGAGGUGUUGGGCCUGCAUUUUGAGUAGCUCCUUAUGUCUUUGCUUCUAUGUUCUCUAUGUCUUUUCUUUUCUUUUCCUAUGUAGGGUACAAUUGACUUUCUCUUUUGCAUUUGAUUUUUGAACAGUGUUAGUAGAUGUUUAUGUAUUUUGUAAAGGUUCGUGCAUCAUGGUUGAUUUGGAUCUCAGUUUUUG